UACGUAGGUGACAAGCGUUGUCCGGAUUUACUGGGCGUAAAGAGCGCGCAGGCGGUCGUUCAAGUCGAGUGUGAAGGCCCCCGGCUCAACUGGGGAGGGUCACUCGAUACUGAUCGACUCGAAGGCAGGAGAGGGAAGUGGAAUUCCCGGUGUAGUGGUGAAAUGCGUAGAUAUCGGGAGGAACACCAGUGGCGAAGGCGACUUCCUGGCCUGUUCUUGACGCUGAGGCGCGAAAGCUAGGGGAGCAAACGGG
rnacentral:rRNA from 1 species